rnacentral:rRNA from 1 species
ACGCUCGACACCUACGAGGCAGCAGUGGGGAAUAUUGCACAAUGGGGGAAACCCUGAUGCAGCAACGCCGCGUGAAGGAAGACGGUUUUCGGAUUGUAAACUUCUGUUCUUAGUGAAGAUAGUGACGGUAGCUAAGGAGCAAGCCACGGCUAACUACGUGCCAGCAGCCGCGGUAAUCUGAGCGGGCUGGCAAGGC